GUCAGCAGCCAUAUCACCCUGCAACUCACAACUGGCAACCCACUGAAGCUAAGCAGGUGUGAGCCUGGUCAGUACCUGGAUGGGAGAACUCCUGGGAAAAACUAAGGUUGCUGCUGGAA
ensembl:rRNA 5S_rRNA 5S ribosomal RNA